UGGGCAACCUGCCCCAGACUCAGGGAUAACCCCCGGGGAAACCGGGGCUAAUACCCGAUACUCCGAUCGAACCACAUGGCUCGAUCGGGAAAGCUCCGACGGUCUGGGAUGGGCCCGCGGCCUAUCAGCUUGUUGGUGGGGUAACGGCCUACCAAGGCGACGACGGGUAGCUGGUCUGAGAGGACGACCAGCCACACUGGAACUGAGAUACGGUCCAGACUCCUACGGGA
rnacentral:rRNA from 1 species